ACUUUCCGUAGAAGCUUUGCAGGUGUGGCCGCUGCGUCACGUGUGCGUAAGUAGGUGGCAGAGAGGAGAGAGGCUAUACCUACAUUCAGUAUUCUGACCUGUGAACAUUACAUGAUUAGUAGCCUAACAAA